UGGGAGCCGUUGAAGGCUA
rnacentral:snRNA from 1 species